UACGUAGGGCGCAAGCGUUUAUCCGGAAUUAUUGGGCGUAAAGAGCUCGUAGGCGGUUUUGUCGCGUCUGCCCGUGAAAGUCCGGGGGCUCAACUCCGGAUCUGCGGUGGGUACGGGCAGACUAGAGUGAUGUAGGGGGAGACUGGAAUUCCUGGUGUAGCGGUGAAAUGCGCAGAUAUCAGGAAGAACACCAAUGGCGAAAAGCAGCUUUCUGGGACGGUACUGACGCUGAGACGCGAAAAGCGUGGG
rnacentral:rRNA from 1 species